ACAGUUGAUUCUGGUAGUAAAGCUCUAGAAUUUCUGGGUUUACAUGAAGAUGACCAAAGCAACCCAGAAACACCUUCUGUUUCUCCAAACAAUAAUCAGGAAGUGGAAGUGAAUCUUAUUAUUACAGAUUACUGUAUGCCUGGCAUGACAGGCUAUGAUUUGCUCAAGAAAAUAAAGGAAUCAUCAUCUCUGAGAAACAUACCAGUAGUGAUAAUGUCAUCUGAGAAUGUUCCUUCAAG
rnacentral:misc_RNA from 1 species